rnacentral:rRNA from 1 species
CGGCUGAACCAGCAACUUGGAGGAAUGUAUAGCAAUAGCUGAUUGCACCAACAAAUAGUUGAUGCAAUAUUGACUCUGUCAAAUAAAAUUCUAGGUAGAAUUAUGAUAAUGACAUUGUCUGCCUAUAUGUCUUGACCAAAUUACGUGCCAGCAGUCGCGGUAAUACGUAGAAGACUAGUGUUAUUCAUCUUUAAUAGGUUUAAAGGGUACUUAGACGGUAAAUCAAGCCUUCACAGGGACUAAUUUACUAGAGUUACUUACGAGGGGGUAUUAAAGUACUGCAGGUGUAGAGAUGAAAUUCUGUCAUACCUCUUUUCAAAAGAAAAAUUAUGGCACAGGUAUAGGUGAAAGCAUCCCCUUAUGUGAUAACUGACGUUGAAGGACGAAGGCUUUGUGUCGCGAACAGGAUUAGAUACCCCAGUAGUCAAAGCAGAAAAUGAUGAAUGUCAUAGAUUAGAUAAAUAGUUUAUUCUAUAAAUGAAAAUGUAAGCAUUCCACCUCAAGAGUAAUUUGGCAACAUUGGAACUGAAAUCAUUAGACCGUUUCUGAAACCAGUAGUGAAGUAUGUUGUUUAAUUUGAUGAUCCGCAAAAAACCUUACCACAAUUUGAAUAUUUAUAUCUAUCUUUUUUUUUCGUAAAAAAAUAAAAAGGUAAUAUAUUUACAAGCGUUGCACGGCUGUCUUCAGUUAAUGUCGCGAGACUUUGGUUAGUUCCAUUAAAUUAACGUAAACCCUUACUUUAUUUUUAUAUGAAGUAGUUCCCCGCUAUAUUGGAUAUGAUAACAGGGACUAAGACAAGUCAUCAUG